CUCAAGAGGAAUGACAUGCUUAGCUGUGAAAAGUCUCCUGUUCCAAAAAGAGUCGACAAAAACCGCAGAUGCUGAACUUCCAACCUGGUUUAAUGGAAACUACUUACUGUUUUCACAUUCACAUGCGAUUCUCCAGAACACCAAACACCCUUGCCAUUCCGACCUUUGCUGUUUGGGCAGCUCUUUGAACCCUGCAACCAGACAAGCAAAUAUUUCUGAAGGUACACUUGGUGCAGCUGUCCACAACCCAGUCCUCCUUAUCCUCAAAGAGACGGCCGUCUUGC